rnacentral:misc_RNA from 1 species
GUUUUAACUUGUUUUUUUUGUUGUAUAGCCAUUGAAAAUCAUUAGUGUCCCACAACAAUUGUAUUUCUAGAUAUUAUUUUAGACUGGAUAAUUCUUAGGAUUCUACCUUUCACCACCUUAGAUGAUUGUAUCAUCCAUACAGUUUUGUUUGUGGGAACUUUCUUUUCUCAUGUCUUUACCAUUUCAUGUAGUGCCUCCUUUU